rnacentral:rRNA from 1 species
AGAGUUUGAUCCUGGCUCAGAUUGAACGCUGGCGGCAUGCCUUACACAUGCAAGUCGAACGGUAACGCGGGGCAACUUGGCGACGAGUGGCGAACGGGUGAGUAAUGUAUCGGAACGUGCCCAGUUGUGGGGGAUAACUGCUCGAAAGAGCAGCUAAUACCGCAUACGACCUGAGGGUGAAAGCGGGGGAUCGCAAGACCUCGCGCAAUUGGAGCGGCCGAUAUCAGAUUAGGUAGUUGGUGGGGUAAAGGCCUACCAAGCCGACGAUCUGUAGCUGGUCUGAGAGGACGACCAGCCACACUGGGACUGAGACACGGCCCAGACUCCUACGGGAGGCAGCAGUGGGGAAUUUUGGACAAUGGACGCAAGUCUGAUCCAGCCAUGCCGCGUGCGGGAAGAAGGCCUUCGGGUUGUAAACCGUCUUUUGUCAGGGAAGAAAUCCUUUGUGUUAAUACCGCGAAGGGAUGACGGUACCUGAAGAAUAAGCACCGGCUAACUACGUG